UCGCAUAUAGGCUUACGCUUUAAGUUAAGGGCAUCAUGGUAUAACCGUCGAGGUAAGGUAAGGCAGGACCUAAGGAGAUCGAAUGGAAGGGUACAUAGACAAGUAAAUCCCUUAUGACACUCCUUUAAUUUAAGAGGAUUCAUCAUUCGAGGGGAAGUAGACUACUCAAGAAUUUCACAUUUCAUUUAUGUCCUAAUUUCGAAUUGAAUAAAGAAUUAAGAAAUUUACACCACUACCCCAUUGUGAGGCACAUUUUAUAGAAUAAAAUUAAAAGGCAAAGGGGG
rnacentral:lncRNA from 1 species